rnacentral:rRNA from 1 species
AUUGAACGCUGGCGGCAGGCCUAACACAUGCAAGUCGAGCGGAUGAAGGGAGCUUGCUCCUGGAUUCAGCGGCGGACGGGUGAGUAAUGCCUAGGAAUCUGCCUGGUAGUGGGGGAUAACGUCCGGAAACGGGCGCUAAUACCGCAUACGUCCUGAGGGAGAAAGUGGGGGAGCUUCGGACCUCACGCUAUCAGAUGAGCCUAGGUCGGAUUAGCUAGUUGGUGGGGUAAAGGCCUACCAAGGCGACGAUCCGUAACUGGUCUGAGAGGAUGAUCAGUCACACUGGAACUGGGACACGGACCAGACUCCUAAGGGAGGCAGCAGUGGGGAAUAUUGGACAAUGGGCGAAAGCCUGAUCCAGCCAUGCCGCGUGUGUGAAGAAGGUCUUCGGAUUGGAAAGCACUUUAAGUUGGGAGGAAGGGCAGUAAGUUAAUACCUUGCUGUUUUGACGGUACCAACAGAAUAAGCACCGGCUAACUUCGUG